CAAAAGGCCCUUUUCAGGGCCGCCCAUCUCUUCACCAAAGAGUUGU
rfam:Sarcophilus harrisii ctg7180002506273, whole genome shotgun sequence.